CUACUGCAUCCCUUCACUCAAACUUUUUGGUCCCUUCUCGAAGAUUAUUUUCCCCUAUAGACAGAGCAUGCAAAUCCUUUAUAUCUGAUAGGGGGAGGAGUCUUCGAGCGUCUCAUUCUUCAGUGAGAGUGAGUGUGGGAGGAGAUUUCGAUGGGGGAGGAGUUUUAGAUGGGGGAGUCUUCGAGCAACCCAGUCUGAAAAAGAAAAAAGAAAGAAAAAUCAAAAUCACUCUCUUCCCACUCCAGACAAAACGAAAUCACCUGAAACGCAUCGUUUCAUUUUUCCACGUCAGUAUUGGUCCGCGAUUGGCCUGCAAGAAGAGUUUUCCCUCGUCUAAAACCAAGCCAAACCCAAGUUUGAAGCGGACCCCACAUAAAAGUGGGCCUUGACCUUUCGAGUGGAAUUAUAUUCAUAGUAUCCAGAGAUCGAGUACAAUACCAGUGCCAGAGUCGAUAGAAAACCGAGAUCGAAUUUCGACGACGGAGCGGGCAAUAGCAAAUUGGCAAUGACGUUGAUGAGGGGAGAGCCGCUGGUGAUGAAGCUGGCAGCCUUGGCAAAGUACGUUGUUCUUCCAGGGGCCAUGGCCGCUGCUCUCAUCUACUCUCCUCCCCAUUACGGUUCCUCCGACAAGUCCAAUAAAUCCAACAAAUAGAAGGCCUCCACAACAUCUCUUUCUAUUUCACUAUAAGUUGGGCCAUCUUGAUCACUUGGGCAUGCAUGUUUGCAAAAAUCCACUAUUUUUAUGAAACGGGGGUAUGUAAUAAAUUAAUAAUUAUCCUGAUCAAUUUUUGAAUUUUUAUGUGGUUAUUCAGAGAAAUAAAAUGUGUGUGGCUCGUUUGGAAGAACUUGAGAAGUAACUUUCUUCUUUCUUUGACUUUGCCCUGUACUAAACUUUAUCCAAUAAAUGCAAGAUUGCCCCCACCUUAAAAUUGUGGGUUGCACGAUAA